rnacentral:lncRNA from 10 species
CCUGACUCUCAUCGGCAGCAGGGCUCCUGGAAGUCCUGCUUCUCAUUACUACUGUGGACUGGAGCCUCCCCAGAGCUCCCUGGGGUCCUUGGCCUGGGUGAAGAUGGAUGAAGAUCAGAUCCAGCAGCUGUGGGUAGAGGAGGGUCCAGGAAGCAGGCACAAAGAGAGGUAAUUCAUCCACAUGGCAAAACAGAGCAUGAUCUGGGGAAGCUGGAGGCCUCCCAAACAGGGCCUCAACUGUCAGAACAUGUAAUAAACAUAACCAGCCAGAGGACUGAGGGGAGGCAGAAGGCACACAGUUAACCACUGCAGCAGAAAGUAGCAGAAAUGAAGGAUAUUGCAUUUGAGGAUACUGUGAGAGCUCUGUCAGAGGCUAUCAGAGAAGCUCCCUGCAUGACAGCAGAGUGGUCUAGACUGGACCCCAAGUCAGACCAGCCCAAAUGAGCAAGGUUUGCAGAAGGUGGUUUGUAUAAGAAGACCGAAACAGGGUGCAGCUCAGCGCUUGGGAAAGUUGCAAGGGGCUCUGAAGUGUGUUGUUUGAUUUACAUUUGUGGGGUUCCAUAAAUAGGCACUUCACAGAUGCAGACUCUCAAAAUUCUACCAAGAACCGCACAAUAUAGCUGACCACACUGGUCUGCACUUGAUAAGUGAGGAAAUAGAGGCUCAGAGAGCCAGAAUCACAUAUAUAAUUACUACCAGAGCUGGAAUUCCAAUUCAGGCUCAUCUAAUUUGAAAGCCCAUUCUCUUUACACCACACUUCACUAAGACCAAGUCAGCCCUGCCCCUGGGGAGAAAUUCCCUAAGCCUUUAGCAGAGAUCUUGAUAGUCCUAAUGUAUUAGCUUCUCUAAUACAUGUUUAUAAUUCUUGUUGUUGUUUGCUGCUGAUGUUGUUGGUUGUGUCUUAAGGGAAGGGCUAGGAGGGCUUACUGAGAACACUAUCACGUUCUUUCCAACUUUACAAUAGAAGAGGACUGUCUCAGAAGAGAAUCUGGGGCUCUUCUGGAUGUUGUGGGUUUCACCAUUGGAACUGAUGAUUCUCAUGCAAGAGAAGACCCUCCCUUCCACUGUGGGCACUAAACUGCAGUUCUCUAGACGUCUGGACAGGAAUUUCAGCACAUGCUGGAGGGCCGCUCCCACAGAACUUGUAUCUUUUACUUCAGCAGACUCCUGGCUGCCAGUUCUGUAUCUCUUUCUUUUUCUGGAACCACAGAAGAUCACAUUGUCCAAUGUGCCAGGCUAGAAAUACUAGGGGAUUAAGCUGCAGCUCCAUGUUGAGGUAACUGACUUAAUAGUACACCGUUUAGUGACUAUCUUCCUUCCUCUGUUUUUCUUCUUUUGUUUGUCUACCGUUGUCUGCAUGAACAAAAUAAUCCAUUUGUACCCAAAUAUUUAUAUCAGGCUCUACUUCUGGGAGGGCCAAAACUAAGACUAAGAGCCAUGGUUUCAUGUUUAACCAUGCGAUAAAACCUUGUUCUAUAAGAACAAUUGCUUUCAUUCUA